rnacentral:rRNA from 1 species
UACGAAGGGGGCUAGCGUUGCUCGGAAUUACUGGGCGUAAAGCGCGUGUAGGCGGGUCGUUAAGUUGGGGGUGAAAUCCCGAGGCUCAACCUCGGAACUGCCUUCAAAACUGGCGACCUGGACCUAAGUAGAGGCAAGUGGAAUUGCGAGUGUAGAGGUGAAAUUCGUAGAUAUUCGCAGGAACACCAGUGGCGAAGGCGACUUGCUGGACUUAUGGUGACGCUGAGACGCGAAAGCGUGGGGAGCAAACAGG